GGUCAAGUGAAGAAGCGCAUACGGUGGAUGCCUUGGCAGUCAGAGGCGAUGAAAGACGUGGUAGCCUGCGAAAAGCUUCGGGGAGUCGGCAAACAGACUGUGAUCCGGAGAUGUCUGAAUGGGGGAACCCAGCCAUCAUAAGAUGGUUAUCUUACACUGAAUACAUAGGUGUAAGAGGCGAACCAGGGGAACUGAAACAUCUAAGUACCCUGAGGAAAAGAAAUCAACCGAGAUUCCCUUAGUAGUGGCGAGCGAACGGGGACCAGCCCUUAAGUUGUAUUGAGAUUAGCGGAACGCUCUGGAAAGGGCGGCCAUAGUGGGUGAUAGCCCUGUACGCGAAAAUCCCUUUGCAAUGAAAUCGAGUAGGACGGGGCACGAGAAACCUUGUCUGAAUAUGGGGGGACCAUCCUCCAAGGCUAAAUACUACUGACUGACCGAUAGUGAACCAGUACCGUGAGGGAAAGGCGAAAAGAACCGCGGAGAGCGGAGUGAAAUAGAUCCUGAAACCGUAUGCGUACAAGCAGUGGGAGCCCACUUUGUUGGGUGACUGCGUACCUUUUGUAUAAUGGGUCAGCGACUUAUUUUCAGUGGCGAGCUUAACCGAAUAGGGGAGGCGUAGCGAAAGCGAGUCUUAAUAGGGCGUCUAGUCGCUGGGAAUAGACCCGAAACCGGGCGAUCUAUCCAUGGGCAGGUUGAAGGUUGGGUAACACUAACUGGAGGACCGAACCGACUACCGUUGAAAAGUUAGCGGAUGACCUGUGGAUCGGAGUGAAAGGCUAAUCAAGCUCGGAGAUAGCUGGUUCUCCUCGAAAGCUAUUUAGGUAGCGCCUCAUGUAUCACUGUAGGGGGUAGAGCACUGUUUCGGCUAGGGGGUCAUCCCGACUUACCAAACCGAUGCAAACUCCGAAUACCUACAAGUGCCGAGCAUGGGAGACACACGGCGGGUGCUAACGUCCGUCGUGAAAAGGGAAACAACCCAGACCGUCAGCUAAGGUCCCAAAGUCAUGGUUAAGUGGGAAACGAUGUGGGAAGGCUUAGACAGCUAGGAGGUUGGCUUAGAAGCAGCCACCCUUUAAAGAAAGCGUAAUAGCUCACUAGUCGAGUCGGCCUGCGCGGAAGAUGUAACGGGGCUCAAACCAUGCACCGAAGCUACGGGUAUCAUCUUUUGAUGAUGCGGUAGAGGAGCGUUCUGUAAGCCUGUGAAGGUGAGUUGAGAAGCUUGCUGGAGGUAUCAGAAGUGCGAAUGCUGACAUGAGUAACGACAAUGGGUGUGAAAAACACCCACGCCGAAAGACCAAGGUUUCCUGCGCAACGUUAAUCGACGCAGGGUUAGUCGGUCCCUAAGGCGAGGCUGAAAAGCGUAGUCGAUGGAAAACAGGUUAAUAUUCCUGUACUUCUGGUUAUUGCGAUGGAGGGACGGAGAAGGCUAGGCCAGCCUGGCGUUGGUAGUCCAGGUUUAAGGUGGUAGGCUGAGAUCUUAGGUAAAUCCGGGAUCUUAAGGCCGAGAGCUGAUGACGAGUGUUCUUUUAGAACAUGAAUUGGUUGAUGCCAUGCUUCCAAGAAAAGCUUCUAAGCUUCAGGUAACCAGGAACCGUACCCCAAACCGACACAGGUGGUUGGGUAGAGAAUACCAAGGCGCUUGAGAGAACUCGGGUGAAGGAACUAGGCAAAAUGGCACCGUAACUUCGGGAGAAGGUGCGCCGGUGAGGGUGAAGCAUUUACUGCGUAAGCCCACGCCGGUCGAAGAUACCAGGCCGCUGCGACUGUUUAUUAAAAACACAGCACUCUGCAAACACGAAAGUGGACGUAUAGGGUGUGACGCCUGCCCGGUGCCGGAAGGUUAAUUGAUGGGGUUAGCGCAAGCGAAGCUCUUGAUCGAAGCCCCGGUAAACGGCGGCCGUAACUAUAACGGUCCUAAGGUAGCGAAAUUCCUUGUCGGGUAAGUUCCGACCUGCACGAAUGGCGUAACGAUGGCGGCGCUGUCUCCACCCGAGACUCAGUGAAAUUGAAAUCGCUGUGAAGAUGCAGUGUAUCCGCGGCUAGACGGAAAGACCCCGUGAACCUUUACUAUAGCUUUGCACUGGACUUUGAAUUUGCUUGUGUAGGAUAGGUGGGAGGCUUUGAAGCGUGGACGCCAGUCUGCGUGGAGCCAACCUUGAAAUACCACCCUGGCAACUUUGAGGUUCUAACUCAGGUCCGUUAUCCGGAUCGAGGACAGUGUAUGGUGGGUAGUUUGACUGGGGCGGUCUCCUCCUAAAGAGUAACGGAGGAGUACGAAGGUGCGCUCAGACCGGUCGGAAAUCGGUCGUAGAGUAUAAAGGCAAAAGCGCGCUUGACUGCGAGACAGACACGUCGAGCAGGUACGAAAGUAGGUCUUAGUGAUCCGGUGGUUCUGUAUGGAAGGGCCAUCGCUCAACGGAUAAAAGGUACUCCGGGGAUAACAGGCUGAUACCGCCCAAGAGUUCAUAUCGACGGCGGUGUUUGGCACCUCGAUGUCGGCUCAUCACAUCCUGGGGCUGAAGCCGGUCCCAAGGGUAUGGCUGUUCGCCAUUUAAAGUGGUACGCGAGCUGGGUUUAGAACGUCGUGAGACAGUUCGGUCCCUAUCUGCCGUGGACGUUUGAGAUUUGAGAGGGGCUGCUCCUAGUACGAGAGGACCGGAGUGGACGAACCUCUGGUGUUCCGGUUGUCACGCCAGUGGCAUUGCCGGGUAGCUAUGUUCGGAAAAGAUAACCGCUGAAAGCAUCUAAGCGGGAAACUUGCCUCAAGAUGAGAUCUCACUGGAACCUUGAGUUCCCUGAAGGGCCGUCGAAGACUACGACGUUGAUAGGUUGGGUGUGUAAGCGCUGUGAGGCGUUGAGCUAACCAAUACUAAUUGCCCGUGAGGCUUGACCAU
rnacentral:rRNA from 1 species